rfam:Daphnia magna strain Xinb3 contig57245, whole genome shotgun sequence.
GGUCACAUGGCUUAGAUGGCAAAGCACCUGCCUAGUACGCAGGAGAUCACGAGUUCGAGUCUCGUUGGGACCU